UACGGGGGGGGCAAGCGUUGUUCGGAAUUACUGGGCGUAAAGGGCUCGUAGGUGGCCAACUAAGUCAGACGUGAAAUCCCUCGGCUUAACCGGGGAACUGCGUCUGAUACUGGAUGGCUUGAGGUUGGGAGAGGGAUGCGGAAUUCCAGGUGUAGCGGUGAAAUGCGUAGAUAUCAGGAGGAACACCGGUGGCGAAGGCGGGUCUCUGGGCCGAUACUGACGCUGAGGAGCGAAAGCGUGGGGAGCGAACAGG
rnacentral:rRNA from 1 species